GAGUAACACGUGGGUAACCUGCCUGUAAGACUGGGAUAACUCCGGGAAACCGGGGCUAAUACCGGAUGCUUGUUUGAACCGCAUGGUUCAAACAUAAAAGGUGGCUUCGGCUACCACUUACAGAUGGACCCGCGGCGCAUUAGCUAGUUGGUGAGGUAAUGGCUCACCAAGGCAACGAUGCGUAGCCGACCUGAGAGGGUGAUCGGCCACACUGGGACUGAGACACGGCCCAGACUCCUACGGGAGGCAGCAGUAGGGAAUCUUCCGCAAUGGACGAAAGUCUGACGGAGCAACGCCGCGUGAGUGAUGAAGGUUUUCGGAUCGUAAAGCUCUGUUGUUAGGGAAGAACAAGUACCGUUCGAAUAGGGCGGUACCUUGACGGUACCUAACCAGAAAGCCACGGCUAACUACGUGCCAGCAGCCGCGGUAAUACGUAGGUGGCAAGCGUUGUCCGGAAUUAUUGGGCGUAAAGGGCUCGCAGGCGGUUCCUUAAGUCUGAUGUGAAAGCCCCCGGCUCAACCGGGGAGGGUCAUUGGAAACUGGGGAACUUGAGUGCAGAAGAGGAGAGUGGAAUUCCACGUGUAGCGGUGAAAUGCGUAGAGAUGUGGAGGAACACCAGUGGCGAAGGCGACUCUCUGGUCUGUAACUGACGCUGAGGAGCGAAAGCGUGGGGAGCGAACAGGAUUAGAUACCCUGGUAGUCCACGCCGUAAACGAUGAGUGCUAAGUGUUAGGGGGUUUCCGCCCCUUAGUGCUGCAGCUAACGCAUUAAGCACUCCGCCUGGGGAGUACGGUCGCAAGACUGAAACUCAAAGGAAUUGACGGGGGCCCGCACAAGCGGUGGAGCAUGUGGUU
rnacentral:rRNA from 1 species